rnacentral:rRNA from 1 species
GAUGAACGCUGGCGGCGUGCUUAACACAUGCAAGUCGAACGGGAAUUCUUUUAUUGCAACUUCGGUCGAUUUAAUUUAAUUCUAGUGGCGGACGGGUGAGUAACGCGUGGGUAACCUGCCUUAUACAGGGGGAUAACAGUCAGAAAUGGCUGCUAAUACCGCAUAAGCGCACAGAGCUGCAUGGCUCAGUGUGAAAAACUCGGGUGGUAUAAGAUGGACCCGCGUGGGAUUAGCUGGUUGGUGGGGGAACGGCCCACCAAGGCGACGAUCCAUAGCCGGCCUGAGAGGGUGACCGGCCACAUUGGGACUGAGACACGGCCCAGACUCCUACGGGAGGCAGCAGUGGGGAAUAUUGCACAAUGGGGGAAACCCUGAUGCAGCGACGCCGCGUGAAGGAAGAAGUAUGUCGGUAUGUAAACUUCUAUCAGCAGGGAAGAUAGUGACGGUACCUGACGAAGAAGCCCCGGCUAACUACGUG